CUAACUUCUGUGCCCCAGCAUAACCUCCAAAGUAACAGCCGUGCCCUGGGAGCCUGUUCAACACUGAACAUAUCCCACAAUAACACAGUUCCAGCGUCGCUGGUAAAAAGCAGAAAUGGCUUCGGGGAGAAGGCAACAAAUCAAGACUCUAACCAGCUUAGGCAAAAGGAAGAACUUAUAUAAAGUAUACGGGGACGAGUUGAACAACCUACUCUACAGAUAAGAAUCCAGCUAGCCUAGGGACCAGCAAUAUUAGAUCCUCUGCUUGCUUCUUUUUUCUGUAGACCAACUUUUCCAAGGGAACACAGCUGCCUAGCACACCCAAGGUUUUCACUUUAUGGCUUCAAGAAUGAGAGACCAACUUGCUUUCUAUAUUUUUUCCUAUCCAAGACCCAAAUUCCUGGGGAUGGGACUCACUGGCUCUGAUAAGCUGGAGGCAUCAAUAAAUCUAAUGCAGUGA
rnacentral:lncRNA from 1 species